AUUUAUUUUAAAAGAUGGUAGACAUCUCAUGCAGACACAGCACAUUGCAGUUCUGGACCGGAAAGAGACUUUAAGGGGUUAACUGAGAGGCCAGUGAGACAUCCAGAAAGGGGUGUUAGUGAGGAUCUGCAGCAGACAAGAUGAUUAAGAGUUCUAAACCGGAGAGCCCCAGGCAGGGAAUGUGAGGAGAUGAAGGCACUGAACAGGCCUCAGCAGGAGCCAAG